ACAAUUGCACUCGUCUGUACCG
rnacentral:miRNA from 1 species